rnacentral:rRNA from 1 species
AUUGAACGCUGGCGGCAUGCUUUACACAUGCAAGUCGAACGGCAGCGCGGGGCAACCUGGCGGCGAGUGGCGAACGGGUGAGUAAUACAUCGGAACGUACCCAUAAGUGGGGGAUAACGUAGCGAAAGUUACGCUAAUACCGCAUACGUUCUACGGAAGAAAGUGGGGGACCUUCGGGCCUCAUGCUUUUGGAGCGGCCGAUGUCUGAUUAGCUAGUUGGUAGGGUAAAGGCCUACCAAGGCGACGAUCAGUAGCUGGUCUGAGAGGACGACCAGCCACACUGGGACUGAGACACGGCCCAGACUCCUACGGGAGGCAGCAGUGGGGAAUUUUGGACAAUGGGCGCAAGCCUGAUCCAGCAAUGCCGCGUAAGUGAAGAAGGCCUUCGGGUUGUAAAGCUCUUUUGUCAGGGAAGAAACGGCUGGGGCUAAUAUCCUCGGCUAAUGACGGUACCUGAAGAAUAAGCACCGGCUAACUACGUGCCAGCAGCCGCCGCCGUAA